rnacentral:rRNA from 1 species
UACGUAGGGUGCGAGCGUUAAUCGGAAUUACUGGGCGUAAAGGGUGCGCAGGCGGCGUCGCAAGUCAGGCGUGAAAUCCCCGAGCUUAACUUGGGAAUUGCGCUCGAAACUACGUGGCUGGAGUGUGGCAGAGGAAGGUGGAAUUCCACGUGUAGCGGUGAAAUGCGUAGAUAUGUGGAGGAACACCGAUGGCGAAGGCAGCCUUCUGGGCCAACACUGACGCUCAUGCACGAAAGCGUGGGGAGCAAACAGG